rnacentral:lncRNA from 1 species
UAAGAGGUGUAAGGAGAAGGUGGUGGAGAAGGGGAGUGAGAAUGGGAAUGGGAAGGGGAAGGGGUGUAUCCUCUGUAGCAGACGAAAUUAGGACUAGGGUUAGGGUUAGGGUUAGGGUUGGGGGAGGCGUAAUCGAAUUGGGGGCGGCCGAGGAGGCCGAGUUUGAGGUGGAUCUUGCCGUGGGGGCGGCCAGAGGGGCGAGAGAGGGGGAACUUGCGGAGGCGCGUGGAGUCGUGGAGGUCGUGGAGGUCUUUGAGGGGGAGGCGGAGGGUGGCGACGAGGGGUUUGGGGGUGUCGGAGGGUUUGGAGUGAAAGAUCUCGAGGGUGAGGAAGGAGUCGUGGAGGGGGAGAGGGAG